rnacentral:rRNA from 1 species
GACGAACGCUGGCGGCGUGCUUAACACAUGCAAGUCGAACGGAAAGGCCCUGCUUUUGUGGGGUGCUUGAGUGGCGAACGGGUGAGUAACACGUGAGUAACCUGCCCUUGACUUUGGGAUAACUUCAGGAAACUGGGGCUAAUACCGGAUAGGAGCUCCUGCUGCAUGGUGGGGGUUGGAAAGUUUCGGCUGUUGGGGAUGGACUCGCGGCUUAUCAGCUUGUUGGUGGGGUAGUGGCUUACCAAGGCUUUGACGGGUAGCCGGCCUGGGAGGGUGACCGGCCACAUUGGGAUGGGGCUACGGCCCAGACUCGUACGGGACGCAGCAGUGGGGAGGAGUGCACAAUGGGCGGAAGCCAGAUGCAGCAAAGCCGCGUGCGGGAUGACGUGCAGCGGGUUGUAUACCGCUUUCGCCUGUGACGAAGCGUGAAUGACGGUAAUGGGUAAAGAAGCACCGGCUAACUACGUG